GAAAACAGCAGGACGGUCCUGGUUGGACCAUUCGGUGACACGGGUGGCCACUGUGGUGGAGGGGAAAACGGACUGCCUCACAGGCUCGCAUUGCCCAGCUUCGGGCAGAAAGCAUUUCAUUUACUCCACCUGGGUUUUGCUUCCACUCUUCCCUUCCCUGCAGCGCCGAGAAGGCCGUGUGCAAGCCCGCCAGAGCCCCGGCAUCCUUCCUAACUGCAGUAAUUUCUUCCCUGUGGCCUUUACAAGAAAUGCUGCUUAGCCCUGAGUGCCUUCUACCUGAGAGUUAUUUCAAACCUCUGUCAAAUUUUUGAUUUUUUUCUAAGAAAAAAUUAAAAAAAAAGAGGUUUUCUAAGAAAACCUCUUCACAGAAAAAGAUCAAUUUCUGAAGAGACUCAAGAGAUCAGGUCACGACGUACUUCCAUUCAGACCCCAGAGGAACCGAGAGGUGCGGGGCAAGGCCACAGGAGCCCCGGGCAGAGCAGCAAGAGCGCAGAGCUGCCCCAUCUGGGCGAUCACAGGACAGCGACAGCCACCUGGGUGCAGAGGGGACCCUGGGUGGCCACUUACCCUGGGGGGCGGCCUGGGCGCCCGCCCGCUGCCACGGCUGCACAACCAGCAAUGUAUCCAGAACUAUGGACCAUCACACAGAAAACUUCUGAGAUGUGUCUUCAGUCAAAAUUCGAAUGCUGGAGAAUCUGUGGGUUGUGUGAGAAUUCCAGUGGCUUCCAAGGACGAUUGAAUCCCAGCGAUAUAAGGAGGCAUACCAAUACUGAGCCUGUGGCCCUGCAAGCAGCCUCCCUCCCACAGGCUUGCCUUUAAUCAUUGUUAUUGAUUCUGGAGAACCAUGUCGUCAGCAGAACAUUCAGGACAUUAGUCUGGGGAGACAUUUAAAUGGCACGGUCUUUGCCGGUGGAAAAACCUAAGUGUGCAAAUCAGCCUGUAAAUAUCUAGCAGCACAACUGCUACACCGUGAGUCACAUUAGUUUUCUAGGGCUGUCAUAAUAAAUCACCAUGAAAUGGUGGCUUAAAUGAAUAAAAAUUUCUCUCUCACACUUCUGGAGGCUACAAGUCUGGAAACAAGGUGUCAGCAGGUCUGUGCUCCACUCAAGGCUGUGGGAAAGAAUCCUCCCUCCAUCUUCCUAGCUUCCUGUGGUUCCCAGCAAUCCUCGGUACUCCUUGGCUCUUAGGUGCAUUACUCUGGCUUUUGCCUUUGUUAAUUUUCUUUUUGUGUUCUAAUUUGCUUUCUAUUGCUGUGAUAAAAACAAAAACACUGAAUGAAAAGAACAUGGGAAGGAAAGGGUUUAUUUGGGUUAUAGGUUAGAGCUUAUCGUCAUUAAGGGAAACCAAUGUAGGAACUCAAGGCAGGAACCCGGAAGCAGGAACUUAAGCAGAAACCAUGGCUUGCUUCCUCUGUUUUACUCAGCUACCUUCUUAUACAACACAGGACCACCAGCACAGCAAUAGGACCGCCCACAGUGGACUCACAUCAAUUAGCAACCAAGAAAAUGUCCCGUAGAAAUGCCCACAUGGCAAUCUGAUGGAGACAGCUCCUCAGCUGAGACUUCCUCUUCCCAGAGAUCUGGAUUUGUGUGGAGCUGACAAGAGCCAACCAAUACAGUAUGACUGUAUCUAUCUCAGCUUCUAUUUCCUUCUUUCCUGUCAUUAGUCACUGGACCUCAGACCCAUCCGAAUCCAGCAUGCUCUUCCCUUAACUGACGAUAUCCUCAAAGACCCUAUUUCCAGAGAAGGUCACAUUCACAGGUCUUGGGAUUUGGGAUUCAUUGUAUCUUUUGGUUUUGCUCUGUUCUUGUUUUUUAAGACAAGGUCUCAUGUAUCCAGGCUGGCUUUCAACUCAUUAUGUAGUACAAAAGACAUUAAAAUUAUGAUCUUCUUGCUUCUGGGUUCGGUGGUACAUGGUUUGCGUGGUGCUGAGCAUGAAACACAGGACUUGGUAUACCUUUCUGUGGGAGAAUACUUUGACUCAAAACACACAAUGAAAUAACAUUUAUUUAAUGCUGUCUUUCAAAGUUUUGCAUUCCCAGAAACAAUGACAGUUCCUUCAUGCUCUGGGAGCUUGCAAACUGCUUGGUGUUUACAGGUUUGGAAUUGAGCCAUUCCACUCUAAGGUGUGUAGUGAUAUAACACUGUUGUUUUAAUAUUCAACUCUCUAAUGGCAAUAAACUUUACUGUUUCUGUGUGCUCAUUUCCUUUCAUAUAAUAUCUUUGCAAUGGUGUCUGUUUAUAACUUUUCCCCAUUUUUAAGUUGAGUUGUUUGCUUUCCUGUUGCUAUGAUUUGCACCCCAAGGCCCAUGUUUAAGCUCUUGGCACUGUUGGGAGGUUCUCAAAUGCCUUUAAGAGGUGGGACCUUGUUGGGAGUCUUUCAGUUGGUCCUGUGGAAGUAUGCCCUUGAAGAAGAGUCUUCUUCACUCACCUUUUGCUUUCCAGCAGCAUGGACAUGUGGCUUACAUCAUCACCCCCCUCUGACAUUACAUGCAGCCUUGCCAAAGGACCAAAGCAGUGGAUUCAAUUGAUCAAAAACUGGCACUUCCAAAAUUUUGAGCCAAUACAAACUUUACUCUUUUUAAUCUGAGUAUCUCAAGGUUCUAACACUAACAGAAAGCUGGCCGGAGCUGGUUUCUAUACUUUAGGGUUUCUUUGCAUGUGGGGUUGGAGCACAAGUCUUUCAGCAGAUGUGCACUUCGCACAUUUCCCUCUCAGUAUGUGAUUUGUCCUUGCACUCCCCUGCCACGCUUUGCUGUAUUUACAACAAUUUGGGGGUAGGAUUUCCUUUUCCUUUGUGACUUCCUG